rnacentral:rRNA from 1 species
UACGUAGGGAGCAAGCGUUGUCCGGAAUCAUUGGGCGUAAAGCGCGCGUAGGUGGCCUCAUAAGUCCGUUGUGAAAGUCAAAGGCUCAACCUUUGAAAGCCGAUGGAUACUGUGAGACUAGAGUACGGAAGAGGCGAGUGGAAUUCCUGGUGUAGCGGUGGAAUGCGCAGAUAUCAGGAGGAACACCGAUGGCGAAGGCAGUUCGCUGGGCCGUAACUGACGCUGAGGAGCGAAAGCGUGGGGAGCGAACAGG